CCCCCGGUCCCACCGAGCCUCCCCGGGCUCUCCCGGAGCUCUCGGUCCCUCAGAAUUUCCCCGGGCCAUGCCCGAGCCCCCGGUCCCACCGAGCUUCCCCGGCUCUCCCGGAGCCCCAGGCAGUUCUCUUCCACGUAUUCAGGUGUUUGCUCGGCGGUCGGUGACUCCUUUCCGAUGAAUUUUCCGUCUCCGAGAAACCGCCGAACUCCACAGCGGGGAUCCUGAUGCACAGUGAGGGGAAACUGAUAAAGUAUCAGCUGGGCAUCAUCAGAUUUCAUUUUAACAGAAGUCAAGUCUUUACAGUGUAAAAUAACUGCAAGGAACCAGAAACACCAGACUCACAUGUCUAAAUAUUACAGAAAGUUCAAGGCUGAGGAUCCUGAGACAGAAGAGGCCCAGUAAGGCUGCCUGUCUGAUCAAGGAGACAAAGAGCUGUCUGUACUGCUGCAGGAAAAAACCAAAGUAAGAGCUCUCGGCUAAUUUAUUACAGAUUUGAGAAAUUGAUUCCAACUUCUUCCACAAAAAAGCCUUUGGAACUGGAUAAAAAUCAAUGGGAUUGUGGCCUUAGUCCCUCCUAACACCUCUUAACAUAAAUAUAUGAUACAUAUAGAAUGAGAAAUAUUUUUUUUUAAAUUCCGAAACAUCUCUUCCUCUAUUUUAUUGCUGUACUAGCACAGAUACACUCAUUAAAAAAAAAUCUUCCAGUAGCUUCUACAUAAAAUGAAAGAAGUAUUAGAGCCACAGCAGUGCUUUGCAGGUACACAUAUUAACAUUUCAAUCUUUGGGGCAUGUGCUCACCCUUCAGACGCUUGUCUGCAGAAGAGAAUUCCUGUGUUCACAUGGACAACAUUUUUGGAGUGUGAGAAAAAAGAAGUCUAAAGAUAAGUGCUAAUUCUUUAUUUCUGAAUAAGAACACUGGCAGUUCUUAAUGCUACUAUAGGAAAUGUGUUUUUACACAAUAGAAAACAUGAGAGAAUCAACAAUUUUUAUUACUCAUAUUAAUUAUUUUUUCUAUGGAGAUACAUCUUUAACAUUGCUGCUGAUGAGUCAAGACCAGAACAUGGGUCAGAUACCAGUGAAAACUUAUGGAAACAGCUCCUUCCUUUGCCUGCUGGGGCUCCAGGCAGAUCUGUUUUUUUUCUGUCCAAGCCAUCAGUUGAUUUAUUGUUGCAUUUGCUUAUAGCUGUGUUUCUACAAUAAUAAUGGAGGCACUGAGUAUUUUAAACUAAACACUAUUUACAAACAGUCAGAGAGAGAUAAACUUUAAUAAAAUUAUUUGGGAGAACUCUGCUUCACUGAUAAAGGAUACCUCAGGACACCUAGAUGUUUCCAUAACAUAAACUUUAUGAUGAAAAGCCCAUACUGUUUCCAUUGACUGCUGGUUGCAAAUUUCAGACCCUGAAGAGAUCUGGAUCUAGUCUGUACCUCUGCAAGUCUGCUCCCAAGAGCAGUCAGCAUAAUCCCAGCUGCAGUCACAGAAACAUUUAGGUCUGCAGGGGCAUCUGGAGCACAUCUGGUUGAAACAGAUCCACUUAGAUUGUGUUGUUCAGGGACUUAUAGAAUGGUAAAAUUAUUCCAGUCCAGUUUAAAACUAAAUUCACUGAGUGUCCAGUGAAUCAUCAUGUGCAAGGGGAGAGCUGAGUCUCAGGAGGAACAUUUGCUCAUUAGAGUGGCUGGGAAUUAGUCAGUGGUAGAAAAAUCACUUGGCUACCUCAUGAAGUUUCAGUGAAUAGAAAGGCUUAUACAGAACUGAAAAGCUAACUUUCCUUAAAUCCUGUGCUAAUAAAUGGUUAUUAGGAUGUGAAAUACAGUGCUCCAUUCAGACAGGAAGGCUUCUUCAAAUGAAGGGCACAAUCUGCAUUUUUCUACACUAUUCAUCAAAUGCACUGCCAGAAAUUUGUCCUUCCGGUUUUGGAAGGUAGUAGCUCAAAUUAGUUAUUAUCCUGAAAUUAAAGGAAUAGAAUUGAACUUGAAAUGUUUCAUUUUACUUGUGUCCAGUAAACCCUUUGAAAAGGAGUUUCUCAGGAUAAGCAAGCUAUGAGCAUGGCUGAGGCAGGGCUCUGUACCCCUUCAAGAUGUCUUACAGAAACCAGAGGUCUACAGCCACCAUAACAGGCACACACAAAAUGCACAGAAGCCUGCGGAUGCACGUGUUGUUCAAAGAAACAAACUAUUUGGCCUAGUUGCAGAAAACUCAGAAGAGAGACAGAUGAGCAGAGACAAACAACAAUGACAGAUGGGAAAACACAUGCUCACUGCAGCUCUGCCUCUUGGAUGUAGCAGUGGAGCUUGAAGCCUGUGGCACUCCUGUACCUGGCUCCUCACUCCCACACUGAUCUUGAGCCAAACAGGGCUGUGGAGCUUCUGGGCACCUCCAGCAUCUGCUCACAGAUGACCCACUGUCACUGAAAGGGGCUACUGGGUCAGGCACAGGGAGGUUCAUCACAAGUGGUUCAGUGGGGGCAUCCUUUAGACCUGAGGAUACUGAAACAAAUAAGCUCUUGCAUUGAAGUUGUGCUGUGUGCUAAUACAGGAAUCUUAAUUAACUUGCACAAGAACUGACUUGUGCAAUGGCACUGGUAAGGAACAAGCACUGGAAUCCUUGGCUCAUUGGAGAUGACAUUGUGUUUGGCCAGAACAGCAAAAGACCCACCAGGUUCCUGUGAAGAAAAAUGUGAUUUUGAGCCCUUCUUUAAGUUUUAUUUUUACAGCAGGUGUUCAUCUCACUACACUUUUGUGAGGCAUAACUUAGUGUAUUCCUUGCUUCUAUCCUUGUAAUGCUGCUGUAAUUACAUUCCUAUUGUCAAGUAGAGGAACUUUCAGGAUGUGUGCCCUAAAGAUGCUGUUGAACUAAUAUUAAUUUAAAAGGCAAAAUCCUCUUUUGUUGUUGUUUUUGGUUUUGUGUGUGUGCACGCACACUUGCUUUCUUGGAUCUUCCUACUGGUUUGGUGACUGUCCAUUUAUCUCCAUAGAGAACCUCAUCACAACUAUCAGUAUCUUCAGGUGUCUUUCUCAAGAUAAUCUUGCCUACUAAAAUUUUAUGAGAAAUUUUAACCAGAAUUUUAAGAAACAAUUGAGAAAAAGAAAUAAAUUUCCAUGGUGAACCCUGACUUCAGCCAGCCCAACACAUUUGCAUUUCAUCCACCCUCUGGCACAUCACACCUGUCAGUGCCACAUCUCCACAUUUCACAGACUCACGUGUCUACAUUAUUUAUCCCAGCAGUGCAUCCAGUGGAAAUCCAGAUUACAGUAAUUCCUGUAGGAAUCUGGAAGGUGGAGAGCAAGUCCCAGAUAGGACUGUGUCCAGUGGGCAACGUCAGGGACUCAAACCCAGUGCUCAACUGCUUCAGCUUCCUCCAAGCCUCCAUCUUCGGUCAUUCACGGCUUACCUGCACUCUUGGAUAGUAGGUAUGAUACUGCUAGAACUGGGUCUGGAGGGAAUGCUUCCCAGAUAGCUUAAGCCUUCAACUAAUAACUAAUUUACUAUUAAUUUAUCCAGUUUCAUGUGGUAAGGUAGAACAUCAGGAAGUUAAACUGAGACACACAUUCUUUUCUUAGUCCUUCAUACACAACCAACAUGGAACAUCUUUUUUCCUGUUAAGACACCUUGAAUGGCCAUGUCUAAUCAACACCCCCCCCCCACCACCCUUCUGACAAACUUACUCAACUGCAAUAAAAUGUCUUCUUGCUGUUUCUCUUCACUUUGUAUGGCAAAAAUGAUCCCCAAAAUACCUUUCCCCUUAAAAUACCCGAUGUUCUCUCAUGACAAUCCUGCUGUGUGCUCUCUGGGAGGGAGGUCAGUGUCCCUCCACAUCACCUCUGCCCAGUACCAAGCGCCUGUUGAGCACUGCCCUUCCACAAAAAGUGCUUUCUUCCAAACAGCAGCAACUACUCUCCUCUCCAGCUCCUGUCUGUGCUAAGAAACCAGCUAUGACCCUUUUAUGAAGGUAGGCAAUUAUUUGUUUAAAGAUCUCAUUGGCCAUUACUUUAUUUCAACUAGAAAAAUCCAAAAGAAGGCAAACUUUUAUAUCACAUUUUGUUUCAGUGAUCAAAGCUGAAAUGUGGGGAAUAAACAUUUACAAAGAGCUCAGAUAGAAAUGUACUGGCAUGUUUUUAAUCUUUUAAUUAUACUUUUACUCUCAAGUGCUUUUUAAUAGGAAGUAAAAUCCAGUUAAUAAACAGAAGACGAUUUCAUAGACAUACAUCAGAAAUACAUUCUGAGCUCCACUUCCAGGUAUACAAAGCAGAAAGCUCAUGAACACAUGGUGUAAGUUGCUUUAAUUAAACUCUAGUCCAUUAAACAAUACAAGUAUGGUAAGUGUAAAGGCGUGAAAGUAUAAGUGCAAAAAAAAGCAAUGUGCAGGAAAUAACAUUUAUACUCACGAGACUCUGAAAUACCUUUGGUGCCAGCCAUCCCAAUUACUGCAAAUACCACUGGUUAAUACUGGCAGUGAGCUUUACCAGCAAAUGCAGGCAGAGAGCAGCCAGAUGCCUUCAAAGACUGAUCCAACAAGUGGCCAGUGUGAAGGCAAGGAUGCAGAAUCUCUCCUUUGAUGUGCAGCCUUCUGAAACAGCACGUUGAAACUGGGUGGUCAAACUUCACAUCAAAAUAGGAUUCCUCAUCUUCUUCAGCUACUGCAUUUUUCGGUGUUUUUCAGAAUGCUAAACUUCUUUUUAUUAAAGAAGUUCAACUUUUCGUAUUUUUUUUCUGUUUUGCUUCUGAAUUUCAACUGUAUUUGACUGUUUAAACCAAAUAUAUUCUGUAUCCUGUAAGGAGAAAGGAACUACAGUUCUCUGUAAA